UUUACGACACAAAGGAUAUUUUUAACCGGCGUACUUAAUAUUCAACAUGUAAGCUAUCAUACUUAAUAAUUUACAUUUGAGCAACAACAUAGUUGUUAGUUGAUCCUUUAUAAAAAAACAAGUGUUAGAAUUUGGUAUCAAAUAUGAAUUAAAAGAGAAUGACAAAUAGAUGAUAGUCGAAUGCUUUAAUUUCCCUAACCAUGUUCUUCAAAUUUCCAGUAUUCUAUAAUGUAUAUGCCUUAACUUUUUUGCAAAUCUUGGUAUCCAAAAUGGGAGAUAGAGCUGGUUGAUGAUUUUGGUGCCAACAUAUCAAUUUAAGAAUUCGGUACCAACCGGUAUCAUACCGAACAACCAGUACCGUACCGGUAUUUUCGGUACGGUACCAACUUUUCAUGAAUAUCGGGAUCGGUAUCGGUUCGCAACCGUGCUCAUCCCUAUUGGUAACUGGUGGUGAAACCCCGGUAAGUGUUUCCUCACUUACAUGUUCCACCCAUUUGAUAGAUCGGUCGCGGAAGUUCUAAAAAGUCGACCACAAUUAUACGCCCACCAGGUGAAAGGAGUGUAUACAUGACAUCAUUAACGUCAUCUCCUGUCAUUCUGUUAUCGUAAUUUUAUAGACAUAACUAGCUGGUAAUUAAGUAUUAAAAUUAUACAAAUUAUACAUUUUCUAUAAACCUAAAUGCUUCGACCCGUUACAUAACCAAUAUAUAUUUUCAGUUGUGUAAAUAGUGUCUGUGUAUGUAGGUGUUUUGGCAUGACUUAACUUUUUUAAAUUAUUAGGUUAUAACAACUGUUAACUAACACUUAACAAUGCUUUAUUAUAUAUAAAAUAUAAUUGACUAACUGUAGCUACAACUGGAGUUAGUUUGCAAGCUAGAGGGGUCAAUGAUAGCACAUGGAGUGAAACUCAUUUUUCUACACAUAUUAUGUCUAUGCAUGUUAUGUUUAAUCGGUGUUCUUACUAUGAUUUUGUUUGUAUAAGUUUGCUAUCUUGUAGAUCCAGGUCAACUAGAAGGAGGCCAGUCUAAAUCCGAGGGCCAGAAGGAUACAGAAGGCACAGAGCGCACGACUUCCAGUAGCAGUGCAAUAAAAUCUACAAAUGAUAGCGCUUUAUCAUCGAAUUCGACUAUAGUUGUUCCUGUUGGCCUUAGCUUAGGAGCGAACUGUAUGUUGAUUUCCGCAAGUUUCCUGAAAUGUACGACAAACCUUCAUGGUUGCACUGGAAUCGAUUCUCAUAUUUGCAGCUUGGAUAUCUUGGAUUUCUGUC